rnacentral:rRNA from 1 species
GCGCAGCAGUCGAGAAAACUUCACACUGUGCGAAAGCACGAUGAGGGAAUCCCAAGUGCUUGCACGUAAGUGUAAGCUGUUUCUCUGUUUAAAACGCAGAGAGAGUAAGGGCUGGGUAAGACGGGUGCCAGCCGCCGCGGUAAUACCUGCAGCCCAAGUGGUGACCGUUAUUAUUGGGCCUAAAACGUCCGUAGCCGGUUUAAUAAAUGCCUGGGUAAAUCGUGUAGCUUAACUAUACGAAUUCCGGGUAGACUGUUAAACUCGAGACCGGGAGAAGUUAGAGGUACUCCUGGGGUAGAGGUGAAAUUCUGUAAUCCUAGGGGGACCACCAGUGGCGAAGGCGUCUAACUAGAACGGGUCUGACGGUGAGGGACGAAGCCCUGGGGCGCAAACGGGAUUAGAUACCCGCGUAGU